UGAAAAACAUCAGACAGGCUGGGACACCAAGAUGGAGUCACAGACCCAGGUCUUCAUAUUCCUGCUCCUCUGGAUGUCUGGUGCUGAGGGGAACAUUGUGAUGACCCAGUCUCCUGAAUUCAUGUCCACAUCUGUAGGAGACAGGAUAACCCUAAGCUGCAAAUCCAGUCAGAAUGUGAAUAAGUAUGUAGCUUGGUACCAACAGAAACCAGGGCAACCUCCUAAACCACUAAUCUAUUAUGCAUCCAAUCGACACACUGGAGUCCCUGAUCGCUUCACAGGCAGUGGAUCUGGGACAGAUUACACUCUCAGCAUCAGCAGUGUGCAGGCUGAAGACAUGGCAGUUUAUUACUGUCAGCAGGGUAUUAGUACUCCUCCCACAGUGCUUCAAUGA